AGGCUUUGCAGUGUGAUUUCACACUUGAUAUAAGGCAGUUUAUCAUUUCCUGUGGCAAUUGGCUUAAAUUGCCUGUGGCAAUUUUAUACUUUCUGGAUCCAACGACGGUUACGCAUGAUUUUACUUUUGUGUAUUACAAUUGUUGAAUGGUUAUUUGUUUUGUAUUGUAUCAAUAUAUGUACAGAUCAAAUUUCAUCAGAAUCGAUCCAGCAGUUCUAGAGAUAAUCGACCAAGUCUGCAAAUUCUCUUAUACUUCUGUUGCAAUGGUUAUACUUCCAUUGUCACCUCGUAUUUUUAAAUCUGCUAUCCAGACAAAGACAUUUUUUGUGUUUUCAGGUGAAUGUUGGGUUAUACCUCCAUUGUCACUUCGUAUUUUUAAAUCUGCUACCCAAAGAAUGGCACAUUUCGUUGUGUUUUCAGGUAGACGUUGGGUUAUACUUCCAUUGUCACUUCGUAUUUUUAAAUCUGCUACCCAAACAAAGACAUUUUUUGUGUUUUCAGGUGGAUGUUGGGUUAUACCUCCAUUGUCACUUCGUAUUUUUAAAUCUGCUACCCAAAGAAUGGCACAUUUUGUUGUGUUUUCAGGUAGACGUUGGGUUAUACUUCCAUUGUCACUUCGUAUUUUUAAAUCUGCUACCCAAACAAAGGCAUUUUUUGUGUUUUCAGGUAGAUGUUGGGUUAUACUUCCAUUGUCACCUCAUAUUUUUAAAUCUAUGUAUGUAUUGCAGAUUCUUAAGAAAAGUAUUUUGAAGGCAGUUUCCAACAAUAAGAAAUGGUUUUAGCAGAUAUUUACAGCUUUAUCAAAAGUAACGAAAACUUACGAGAAACUAAACAUUUAAUUAAACAUCCUAUAUACGGAGUUUAUAUAAUAAUCACGUACCUAUUUCUGGUGAAACUGAUUAUUCCGAAGAUAAUGAA